GGGUUGUCUCCUCCAGGGGCCAGGGGGUCUGGUUUUAUAGUCCCCUCAAGUGAACCUGGGCCGUCGGAUCAAACCGACAUUGAUUGAACGGUUAUUCUUGAUCCUUUAGGUCGGUGGAGCAUAAUCCGCGAGAUUGAGCGUGAUUGGCCACAGGAGGUGGGCGGGCGCCCAGUAGGACAGGGCGGGCACCCUGCCUGUGGCCCCGAUUCGCCUCCGCUUCGGUCUCGUGGCUUCUGGAGUCUUCUAGAUGUAAGAUAAUUGCGCGGCACGUUAAUAUCUUUACGUAAUCCCGACGUGUGGGCCUUUCUUCCUUAUUUCCUGAUAACCCCCUGCAGAAAUAGACAAACACCAAAACUCGUGGAAUUCUGUCAGAUAAAACCCUAAGUCUAGAUGUUGAUUUCAUUUGGAUCCAUUUCUUUGUUUAUUUGAUAAUUAAAUUUGAUACUUAAGGACCGUCAACAAACUCCCCCAAGCUUACCUCUUGCUCGUCCCUGAGCAAGGAUAGACUCAGCUAUAGAUCAUAAGUUGUUGCAAUAUCUUUAAAAAUUGACGGUACACAUGCUUUUAAAUGAGGUCUCAUCUCUGAGUUAGAGUAAACUGUCAAGACUUAAAACUUACUUACUUUACCUUUCACCAUGGGACUUGUAACCGUCACUUCUGUCUUGAGUGGUUAAAAGAUAGAACAGUCCAGUCAAGUGCCAUGUCGCUUAUUCUUGAUCAGCUAUAGCUCUGGAGUUUUUGCAGAUUUUCAAAUAAAACUCAGAGAUUCCUUUGUAUGACUCUCUCAUAUCUCUCUUUUGUGGUAUUUCUGGAUCCUUACCAAUGCAGUGAUGGUAUAUGCCUUCUCUCAAAACAUGUGGUAUUUGUGGUAUAAGGCAUAGUGACAUUGCCUUCUCUCUCACCCUACUCUAAUAAGGCUUUAAUAUCUGGAGCUCAUAGGUGGGAGAUAAAGUAUACAUACUUACAAGACAUGUAUUGCAUAGUCAAACCAUGGAUCCAAAGAAAUAAAUCAAUAAGCCAAAUCAAGAUGUGCAUGUGUGGCGAAUGAAUAGUGUAUGGUGAUGAUGGUGAUAACAAUGGUGAAAGUCUAAUUCUACUUUUGCUCUUUUAAGGGGAUACAUACCUUCCUUGCUUUUUGAAACUUUAUGAGGAGAAUGAGAUGCUCUUCUUUUUCUUUUCUCUCAGAUGGGUAUCCUGUACCCCUAAUUCUACUGUCAGACACUUGUCCAUUUUUACCUCUCGUCUCACUCUUUUUCUUUUCUUUCGAGGUUCCGGGCACUUGCCCCUUUUUAUUUCCUCGUUUAUUUUUUUUCUUUUCUUUUUUUUCUUCUUUUUUUUCAGAGCACUCAUCUCUUGAGAUAAUAUAGCAAGUGGUAGUAGCAAGAUAACUUGAGCAUUUAUUUCACAAGGGAAAAACACAGAUGUUUUUGGCUAUUCUCUCCCGAAUUAGGAGUAGAAUAUUUUUAGGUGAUUCUGGAGAUGGAAAUGGAUGGAUAUAUAUGGAUGGUACUUCCGGAGUAGAAGUAGCAUAUAUAUGAGUGAACGUGCAAGUGAAUCUUGAUUUAACCACAUGACAAGCUCCUAAGGGUCUACACAGCUUGACCACACUCAAUGCUCAUAAGCAGUAAAUAAUAAAUGUGUGGCUCAAAGUCUAGCAAGCAUGUAUAUAUGGCUGUGGUAGGAAUUUAAACUUUCAUCAUACAGGAACUCAUCAUGCAACAUUUUAAAGAUUUUUCAAAGAUAAAAUUCUCCAGAAUUCUAGCAUCUCUAGGAACAGAUAAACAGCAGCUCAACCUUCCCAUAUCUUAUCCGUUAACAACUUAGAUUUUAGAUCAAGUUUUCAUCCCACAAGUUUAGAUCUAGAGCAAGCUUUAAAUUAUAACAGUUAUGUCUAAACUUGAGAGAGAACUUCAAAUUUGCAAAUUAGGCAGAGCAACUAUUCAUCAUAUCCAUGCUAGAGUUUUAUUAUUAAGAUUCAUAGCAAACUUUAUUUAUUUAUUUAUUUAUUUAUUUAGCAAACUAAGAAAAGUAUAUAUAUAUAAGCAUAAAAUCUUUAUUUGGUUUUUCAUAGUUUAUGUAUUUUAAUAUUCUAAUAUAAUAUAAGUAUAAAGAUAGGUAGAAAUACUUAGCGAGAUAAAUAGGGGUGCUCUCCCUCAAGCUGAAUUUUGACGUAAUUUCUCUUGAUGUAGCUAGCAGGUGGCAGAGGUGUAUUUGAAAGUCAGCAGCAUUCUGACAGCAAUUAGAAUAUCCUCUAUCUUUCGGCGAGGGUUCAAUGUUUUAAGUCUUCUUAACAAGACUUCUCACCGUGUUCAUUCUUCAGGUGCGUCAUUUGAUUCAGGUGCGGACCUUGACGUCUGCACCUCUUGAUACGGUGUCGCCCAUAUUCUUCGUUUGCCCAGCAGUUCGAAGUGCGGUGUUAGCAGUAUCUUGCUCAAUGUGUUUGUGCUCGUAGUGUACCUGCUCAUAGAGACAAGGCAGAGAUCAAGUGAACCAAAAGUGUAUUUGUUCUUCUCUAACCUUAAGCAUAGUGAGCAAGACAAGUUGAUGGAUGAUAAGUUCAUGAGUGUAGCACUUAUAACAUUUGUCAGAUCAGAUCGCUCAACCUUAUGGAAAGAUAAUCUAUCUAUGUAUAUGUCUUUUUAUUUAUAUCUCUCAAUGAUUGAAUGUGUAACAUUUUAGCUCAUAUGAUUAGGAGUGUGGGAUCAUGGAGGUAGUACUAAGAACAAGGAUUAAAGGACUAAACAUGUUGAAUCAGUUGGGUUGGUUAAUCUAGAGUUGUAAAUCAUACACGUUUGUCUCUUUUAUUUAUAUGAACGCCAGAACCAAGGAGAAGCUUAUAAAAGUGAUAGUCAAGUACCUUAGGAUGUUACCUUGCUUGAAAAGUGAUGGUACAGUAUCACCUUGUGGAAGCUUUCCUUUCUUAGCGGUUGUGCAUCGUGUUCGUGGCACCCUCCAUGGAUCUUCACUUUAUGAUGAAUGAGCUAUGUCCUUCUUGUGCUAAUUGUUAAACUUCAUGUGUCACUUUCUUCGUCUCUGAUGUGAGUUUAUCUCAGGACUUCCCAAAUCGAUAUUGAAAGUUUUUCUGCAGGGGUUAGUCCAACAAAAUAUACCAAUAUCUACUCAAGCAGUUUUUAGUUCAAUAACCAAACUAGACUCCUUGUCUAAUCAGAUUAAGGAAGGCUAUUUAACCUAAGCACCAUGCUUAAUUUAAAUGCCAAUGGAAGUAUGGCGAGUACUUCCAAACCAACACUUGCUAGUAAAUAGACAACGGUAGCAUGACAGCGUUUAUAGAGAUCUACUCAAGUGGAGAUGAAGUAGUGUGAUUAGUAUUUAACAAAUUGAGCAUGUCUCAAAGGUAGGGACAACCAGCAUAGCAACAUGGCAAAGGAUGUUUUUAUGUAAAGUACUCCCCCAAGCUUGAAUUUUGCAAAAAUUCAAGUUUGGAUGAAUUUAAUUCAAUGUUGUAUGAUGAUUGGUUGGACAUACCUUGUGCUUGUCAUUCAUCCGAUCUUCUUGCUCCAAUCUUAGAAAGGUUAGUGACAAGAAUACCCGAAGGAAUAUAUUUUUUUUACAAUUAUCCUUAUAUGCUCAAUACACAAGGUAAUGUUGCAAAUAAUUAAAGGCUCAUGUUACGAUCUGAUCAAUGCUUAUUUUAAGACACUAAGCUUGUCCUUGGGAAACCAUCAGUUUAUGUUGGCGAAGUGGUUUCCCCUCCGACGCCAACCUAUAUCUAGAUCAACUCAACGAGAUCUGCAAUAUUUAUUAUAGACAUAUGCAUCGACAACCGCCCUUUUAAAGUUUUUAUAAAUAGAAAGGAAGAGGGGGUUGGAGAUCUCAAGUGUGGUGAUGUCGGAGAGACCAAUAGAUUGGGAAGAUGUUGCAUAUGAGCAUGGAGUAAACGAAGUGGCUAUGAAAUAAAUUCCAUGCUCAUUAAUGUUAUCUUCGUCUCUAAUCUGAAUGUUCGGAGUUUCUCCUGGAUUGGUCUCACCUAUGUCCUGUUCUGUAGUUGGAUGAAUCUCAUCUUCAAAGGGAGUCAAGAACUCACCAUUUGAAAUUGAGCCAAAGUCAGAACCUAUUAAGGCUUCUUUCUUAUCCAUCCAUUCUACACAUUCUAGCCAUUUAGAACUUGUGAUCAAAAUAGGGGAGGUGUUAGAAUUUUCUAUAUGGCUUAGCUCUCCUUCUAUGGCAUUACUUGACAUGCCAUCCUUAUGGUCUUCAUGACUCCUAUGGUUUGGUCGUCUUGGUGAAUUGCUAGGAUCAUCAUGAGAGUGAAAAGAAGAGGGAUAAGAGGGAUCUCUAAGGUCAAGGAUGGAUUUAGAACUUGUGAACAUGGAAGGGGAGUAGAUAGAAUUGUCUAUAUGGCUUAGCUCUCCUUCACUUGAUAUGUCAUCCUCGACUUCUUCAUGAUAGGAACCAGGACAUUCUCUAAGAGAAACAUUAUUGCAAUGAUUUGAAUUAUCCCUGCUUGAAGGUCUCUUAUAGAACUAGAAGUCUAAACCAUCAGCAUUUAAAAGAUUUAAGGUCGGAAUUCCUUCCUCCCUUGGAGAAUUUUGGGGUAUUGAUGGUUUAGAAUCGAUAGCUAAAGUUUGGGAUUGAAGUGGUUGUGAUCUGGCUAUCAAAACUUCUUCUUCUUGUCUAGGAACUGGUUCUUUCUCUUUCUCAGGGAUAUAAAAGCUAGGAGACUUUCCGCUCAUUAAAUCAAUCAAAUUCCAAGCUUCACUAGCGGAUAUGUGGUGGAAAGAUCCUCCAGAGGCCGCAUGAAGGGUUUGCCUAUUUUUCCUACUAAGGCCCUCAAAAAAGUGAAUUAGAAGAACUUCUUCUGGAAUAGAAAGUUUUGGGCCAGUGAGAGUAAGGUUAAUAAAGCGGUCCCAUGAUUUGCCAAGAGAUUCUUCUUCCAGUUGUCUAAAAGAAAGAAUCUCACGCCGAAGUUCCACCACUUUGGAGAUUGGAAAAUAUUUAGAUAGAAAACUACUAUAUAACUCCUUCCAAUCUCCAUGAACACUCCCUACUUUAAGUUUAUACCAAUGUCUAGCUUUUCCCGUUAAAGAGAACGGAAAGAGCUUCCAUUUAAGGGUCUCAUCGGACAUGCCUUCUAUGCGAAGGAGGUCACAGACUCGAUAAAACUCUCUAAGGUGUGUGUAUGGGUUUUCCUCACCUUCUCCUGAGAAAGGUUGUUUUUGAAUAAAUUCUAUGUAUUCGGGGUCUAUCUCAAAACUAGAUGCUAUGAUAGGCUUUGAAGAUUUUGGUGGUUCGAGAUGUGUGCCCAUAGGUCUAUGAAAUUCAUAGAUAGACAUGUUUGAAUUCAUGAUAGACCAGAGAUCAAGGAUUAGAUAAGAAGAAAGAUUAGCAGAGAUGAGGCAAAGGAUAAAAGGAAAAUAUUUUUUUUAUUAUUUUUUUUAAAAAAAUGAUUAAGCUAGUUCGUAGUCAACUCAGCAACCGUUUCCCCGGCAACGGUGCCAAAAAUGCUUGUUGACACUUGCUAACACCACUUGAAUACUAGGUUGUCAUCCCCAGCAUGGCACUAGAGUGUACUAUGGUAUUUAUACGCACACAGAUAAUCCGCAAGCGCACGGAUACCGUUGAAGCUUUUACCCGGUUAAAGGUUUUAUCGUAUCCACAGGGAAACGGGAGAACCAACUACGCUCUAACUUAACCAAGAUAGAUAGAUAGGUGUAAAUAGGAAAGAUGAUAGAAUCGAAUAAGAACAAUAUUAAAGGUAAGAUAACAGUGAGUGAUAAUAUGGGAAUAGAGAAUAGAGCAAUUCUAGUAUAUGGGCGAUGGUAGCAGAAUAGAGAGGAUAACUAUGGUUUCUCUACUUCAAAGGGGUAUGUCUAUGUCUGGGACGAACCACGUGAUAAGAGUACACCACAAAGGAUGCUUAUCCAUAGGCCGAUAAACCCUACCCGUCCUGCUAACGAGAGGUGGACUACAGGGGACCAACGUAACUGUCACCUACGCGGCCUACCACAUGAUCUAGCUAGUCGGGGGAUAUCCACAAGUAAUCUAGGUCUAAGCACCACGCUUACACCUAUACUACAACUCUAACCUAUAGGGUCCUAUAGAUUAGAAGUACUCAAAAGAGUUGUGAACCAGAACAUACAUGAUUAGUAAUUGCAUAAUGAAUUAGAAGUAGAUUACCAGAGUCAUCCCAUGAGCAAGCUUGAUUAGAGCUUGAUCAUGGCGAAGUACAACCGGAGGAAGAACAGACAGGCCGGCCUCUCCUCUAAUCCUCCUUCGCUCUCCACCUCGCUACUAUCUAGAUCUACUCUAGUUUAGAGAAGAGAGGAGAGCUCUCAUCUCUAAACCCUAGCUUUUGCUCUGUCUAUGAAUAAUGAAUAAUGAUCAAGGGGUUGUCUCCUCCAGGGGCCAGGGGGUCUGGUUUUAUAGUCCCCUCAAGUGAACCUGGGCCGUCGGAUCAAACCGACAUUGAUUGAACGGUUAUUCUUGAUCCUUUAGGUCGGUGGAGCAUAAUCCGCGAGAUUGAGCGUGAUUGGCCACAGGAGGUGGGCGGGCACCCAGUAGGACAGGGCGGGCACCCUGUCUCUGGCCCCGAUUCGCCUCCGCUUCGGUCUCGUGGCUUCUGGAGUCUUCUAGAUGUAAGAUAAUUGCGCGGCACGUUAAUAUCUUUACGUAAUCCCGACGUGUGGGCCUUUCUUCCUUAUUUCCUGAUAACCCCCUGCAGAAAUAGACAAACACCAAAACUCGUAGAAUUCUGUCAAAUAAAACCCUAAGUCUAGAUGUUGAUUUCAUUUGGAUCCUUUUCUUUGUUUAUUUGAUAAUUAAAUUUGAUACUUAAGGACCGUCAACAAACUCCCCCAAGCUUACCUCUUGCUCGUCCCUGAGCAAGGAUAGACUCAGCUAUAGAUCAUAAGUUGUUGCAAUAUCUUUAAUAAUUGACGGUACACAUGCUUUUACAUGAGGUCUCAUCUCUGAGUUAGAGUAAACUGUCAAGACUUAAAACUUACUUACUUUACCUUUCACCAUGGGACUUGUAACCGUCACUUCUGUCUUGAGUGGUUAAAAGCUAGAACAGUCCAGUCAAGUGCCAUGUCGCUUAUUCUUGAUCAGCUAUAGCUCUGGAGUUUUUGCAGAUUUUCAAAUAAAACUCAGAGAUUCCUUUGUAUGACUCUCUCAUAUCUCUCUUUUGUGGUAUUUCUGGAUCCUUACCAAGGCAGUGAUGGUAUAUGCCUUCUCUCAAAACAUGUGGUAUUUGUGGUAUAAGGCAUAGUGACAUUGCCUUCUCUCUCACCCUACUCUAAUAAGGCUUUAAUAUCUGGAGCUCAUAGGUGGGAGAUAAAGUAUACAUACUUACAAGACAUGUAUUGCAUAGUCAAACCAUGGAUCCAAAGAAACAAAUCAAUAAGCCAAAUCAAGAUGUGCAUGUGUGGCGAAUGAAUAGUGUAUGGUGAUGAUGGUGAUAACAAUGGUGAAAGUCUAAUUCUACUUUUGCUCUUUUGAGGGGAUACAUACCUUCCUUGCUUUUUGAAACUUUAUGAGAAGAAUGAGAUGCUAUUCUUUUUCUUUUCUCUCACAUGGGUAUCCUGUACCCCUAAUUCUACUGUCGGACACUUGUCCAUUUUUACCUCUCGUCUCACUCUUUUUCUUUUCUUUCGAGGUUCCGGGCACUUGCCCCUUUUUAUUUCCUCGUUUAUUUUUUUUUUCUUUUCUUUUUUUCUUCUUCUUUUUUUUCAGAGCACUCAUCUCUUGAGAUAAUAUAGCAAGUGGUAGUAGCAAGAUAACUUGAGCAUUUAUUUCACAAGGGAAAAACACAGAUGUUUUUGGCUAUUCUCUCCCGAAUUAGGAGUACAAUAUUUUUAGGUGAUUCUGGAGAUGGAAAUGGAUGGAUAUAUAUGGAUGGUACUUUCGGAGUAGAAGUAGCAUAUAUAUGAGUGAACGUGCAAGUGAAUCUUGAUUUAACCACAUGACAAGCUCCUAAGGGUCUACACAGCUUGACCACACUCAAUGCUCAUAAGCAGUAAAUAAUAAAUGUGUGGCUCAAAGUCUAGCAAGCAUGUAUAUAUGGCUGUGGUAGGAAUUUAAACUUUCAUCAUACAGGAACUCAUCAUGCAACAUUUUAAAGAUUUUUCAAAGAUAAAAUUCUCCAGAAUUCUAGCAUCUCUAGGAACAGAUAAACAGCAGCUCAACCUUCCCAUAUCUUAUCCGUUAACAACUUAGAUUUUAGAUCAAGUUUUCAUCCCACAAGUUUAGAUCUAGAGCAAGCUUUAAAUUAUAACAUCUAUGUCUAAACUUGAGAGAGAACUUCAAAUUUGCAAAUUAGGCAGAGCAACUAUUCAUCAUAUCCAUGCUAGAGUUUUAUUAUUAAGAUUCAUAGCAAACUUUAUUUAUUUAUUUAUUUAUUUAGCAAACUAAGAAAAGUAUAUAUAUAUAAGCAUAAAAUCUUUAUUUGGUUUUUCAUAGUUUAUGUAUUUUAAUAUUCUAAUAUAAUAUAAGUAUAAAGGUAGGUAUAAAUACUUAGCGAGAUAAAUAGGGGUGCUCUCCCUCAAGCUGAAUUUUGACGUAAUUUCUCUUGAUGUAGCUAGCAGGUGGCAGAGGGGUAUUUGAAAGUCAGCAGCAUUCUGACAGCAAUUAGAAUAUCCUCUAUCUUUCGGCGAGGGUUCAAUGUUUUAAGUCUUCUUAACAAGACUUCUCACCGUGUUCAUUCUUCAGGUGCGUCAUUUGAUUCAGGUGCGGACCUUGACGUCUGCACCUCUUGAUACGGUGUCACCCAUAUUCUUCGUUUGCCCAGCAGUUCGAAGUGCGGUGUUAGCAGUAUCUUGCUCAAUGUGUUUGUGCCCGUAGUGUACCUGCUCAUAGAGACAAGGCAGAGAUCAAGUGAACCAAAAGUGUAUUUGUUCUUCUCUAACCUUAAGCAUAGUGAGCAAGACAAGUUGAUGGAUGAUAAGUUCAUGAGUGUAGCACUUAUAACAUUUGUCAGAUCAGAUCGCUCAACCUUAUGGAAAGAUAAUAUAUCUAUGUAUAGGUCUUUUUAUUUAUAUCUCUCAAUGAUUGAAUGUGUAACAUUUUAGCUCAUAUGAUUAGGAGUGUGGGAUCAUGGAGGUAGUACUAAGAACAAGGAUUAAAGGACUAAACAUGUUGAAUCAGUUGGGUUGGUUAAUCUAGAGUUGUAAAUCAUACACGUUUGUCUCUUUUAUUUAUAUGAACGCCAGAACCAAGGAGAAGCUUAUAAAAGUGAUAGUCAAGUACCUUAGGAUGUUACCUUGCUUGAAAAGUGAUGGUACAGUAUCACCUUGUGGAAGCUUUCCUUUCUUAGCGGUUGUGCAUCGUGUUCGUGGCACCCUCCAUGGAUCUUCACUUUAUGAUGAAUGAGCUAUGUCCUUCUUGUGCUAAUUGUUAAACUUCAUGUGUCACUUUCUUCGUCUCUGAUGUGAGUUUAUCUCAGGACUUCCCAAAUCGAUAUUGAAAGUUUUUCUGCAGGGGUUAGUCCGACAAAAUAUACCAAUAUCUACUCAAGCAGUUUUUAGUUCAAUAACCAAACUAGACUCCAUGUCUAAUCAGAUUAAGGAAGGCUAUUUAACCUAAGCACCAUGCUUUAUUUAAAUGCCAAUGGAAGUAUGGCGAGUACUUCCAAACCAACACUUGCUAGUAAAUAGACAACGGUAGCAUGACAGCGUUUAUAGAGAUCUACUCAAGUGGAGAUGAAGUAGUGUGAUUAGUAUUUAACAAAUUGAGCAUGUCUCAAAGGUAGGGACAACCAGCAUAGCAACAUGGCAAAGGAUGUUUUUAUGUAAAGUACUCCCCCAAGCUUGAAUUUUGCAAAAAUUCAAGUUUGGAUGAAUUUAAUUCAAUGUUGUAUGAUGAUUGGUUGGACAUACCUUGUGCUUGUCAUUCAUCCGAUCUUCUUGCUCCAAUCUUAGAAAGGUUAGUGACAAGAAUACCCGAAGGAAUAUAUUUUUUUUUACAAUUAUCCUUAUAUGCUCAAUACACAAGGUAAUGUUGCAAAUAAUUAAAGGCUCAUGUUACGAUCUGAUCAAUGCUUAUUUUAAGACACUAAGCUUGUCCUUGGGAAACCAUCAGUUUAUGUUGGCGAAGUGGUUUCCCCUCCGACGCCAACCUAUAUCUAGAUCAACUCAACGUGAUCUGCAAUAUUUAUUAUAGACAUAUGCAUCGACAACCGCCCUUUUAAAGUUUUUAUAAAUUGAAAGGAAGAGGGGGUUGGAGAUCUCAAGUGUGGUGAUGUCGGAGAGACCAAUAGAUUGGGAAGAUGUUGCAU
rnacentral:lncRNA from 1 species